UACGUAGGUGACAAGCGUUGUCCGGAUUUAUUGGGCGUAAAGCGAGCGCAGGCGGUCUUUUAAGUCUGAUGUGAAAGCCCACGGCUCAACCGUGGAUGGUCAUUGGAAACUGGAAGACUUGAAUGCAGAAGAGGAAAGUGGAAUUCCAUGUGUAGCGGUGAAAUGCGUAGAUAUAUGGAGGAACACCAGUGGCGAAGGCGACUUUCUGGUCUGUAAUUGACGCUGAGGCUCGAAAGCGUGGGGAGGCGAACAGGAUUAGA
rnacentral:rRNA from 1 species